GGUUGGUCCGAAAGCAGUGGGAAAUACACUUGAUUGCUUCAGUCAGUUACAGAAAUCCUUGUUUCUUCUCUGCCCCCUCCCACUGUAGACUUUGACCAGCCUUUU
ensembl:Y_RNA Y_RNA Y RNA